rnacentral:rRNA from 1 species
GUGACCUCAAAUCAGGUAGGACUACCCGCUGAACUUAAGCAUAUCAAUAAGCGGAGGAAAAGAAACUAACAAGGAUUCCCCUAGUAACUGCGAGUGAAGCGGGAAAAGCUCAAAUUUAAAAUCUGGCGGCCUUUUGGCUGUCCGAGUUGUAAUCUAGAGAAGUGUUAUCCGCGCUGGACCGUGUACAAGUCUCCUGGAAUGGAGCAUCAUAGAGGGUGAGAAUCCCGUCUUUGACAUGGACUGCCAGGGCUUUUGUGAUGCGCUCUCAAAGAGUCGAGUUGUUUGGGAAUGCAGCUCAAAAUGGGUGGUAAAUUCCAUCUAAAGCUAAAUAUUGGCGAGAGACCGAUAGCGAACAAGUACCGUGAGGGAAAGAUGAAAAGAACUUUGGAAAGAGAGUUAAACAGUACGUGAAAUUGCUGAAAGGGAAACGCUUGAAGUCAGUUGCGUUGUCCAGAGAUCAGCCUUGCUUUUGCUUGGUGCACUUUCUGGUUCGACGGGUCAGCAUCAAUUUUGACCAUUGGAAAAAGGCUAAGGGAAUGUGGCAUCUUUGGAUGUGUUAUAGCCCUYGGUCACAUACAAUGGUUGGGAUUGAGGAACUCAGCACGCCGCAAGGCCGGGUUUUAAACCACGUACGUGCUUAGGAUGCUGGCAAUAUGGCUUUAAUCGACCCG